rnacentral:rRNA from 1 species
ACGCACGCUGGCGGCGUGCUUCACCCCUGCCAGUCGCACGGAAAGGCCCUGCUUGCAGGGUACUCGAGUGGCGAACGGGUGAGUAACACGUGGGUGAUCUGCCCUGCACUUCGGGAUAAGCCUGGGAAACUGGGUCUAAUACCGGAUAGGAGCCAUUUUUAGUGUGAUGGUUGGAAAGUUUUUUCGGUGUAGGAUGAGCUCGCGGCCUAUCAGCUUGUUGGUGGGGUAAUGGCCUACCAAGGCGGCGACGGGUAGCCGGCCUGAGAGGGUGGACGGCCACAUUGGGGCUGAGAGACGGCCCAGACUCCUACGGGGGGCAGCAGUGGGGAAUAUUGCACAAUGGGCGCAAGCCUGAUGCAGCGACGCCGCGUGGGGGAUGACGGCCUUCGGGUUGUAAACUCCUUUCGCUAGGGACGAAGCUUUUUGUGACGGUACCUAGAUAAGAAGCACCGGCUAACUACGUG